AGGCCAUGGUGCGGAUAAGCCCUUAAUAGCUCUUUAUAUCUCCCCCAAGCUUCAAAGAGUGAUUCUCCUUGAUUUUGUGUAAAUCGGGUGAUCUGAUUUCAAAGUAC